CAUGACGAAGAUCCCGAGACACUAAUUCAGUCGGCAGAGAAACCAAAAGGAGAUUCACACAAUGGCCCAAUGAGUGAAGGCCUCUUUAUUUCGUGCUCUGCUGUUCCUUUAAAACCCAAUCAAAGAGCGAGUCUCAGCCUGCGUUCGUCGGCGUUCGUACUCUAAGCCAAUCAGAAAAGCUGACUCCUAAGAUUGUGUCGCCUGGUCUCUGAGCGUCCCGCGGGCUCCGGGACGGGUAAACGGCGGGCCUCCGAGCUUCAGGUGAAGAGGCAAGAAUUAUCAAUGGCCCUGACUGGUGUGGCUCCGUUGGUUAGGUGUCCUCCUGCAAAGCGACAGGUUGCCUGUUUGGUUCCUGGUCAGGGCACAAGCCUACAAGCAGUGCAUCAAAGAUGACUUCAGAUCAGUCAAAGGGAAACUGAAGAACAGAGUGCAGAAAUACUGAAGCCACUGACGACAGGGGCUGUGGAGCAAGUCCAGCACAGCCUCGAUAAUUUCGAAACCUGCGGGUCCUUUAUGGCAAAAAUGUGAAUCCAGGUGGUAUGAUUGAUCUGCUGAACCACCAGAGGGUGGUGUGACCUCACGCUGAUUUUCUUUGAGGACGGUUUAGAAAUGGGGAAAUGUGAACAAAUUGGGCAAUUUGGAUCUAUCACCUGUCAUCAUAACCGACCUCUGUUUUUCAUCCACACACCAGAGCUAGGAUAAAUGGGACUGAUGUUACCAUGAACCCUUCAUUUAUUUUAACCUUCGUUUAUUUGGAGCAGAGGCAUUAUUUUGAAGAAAAAAUAUGUCAUGUAGGUUGUCUGAAAAUAAAAUGCAUUUUAAGCUAAUAAGUGGCUUUCCAAAGAAUUUGCCAUGAUGGGUUAUCUGCUUUUGUUUGUGGCCCAGACUCCCAGAGAUCUUAAGUCACAAAACUGGAUAUGACUUUCAGUUCAAACAGCUGCAGUCAUGGAUGUUGGAGAAAGAAUUGUAAAGGAGGUGUUGUCCAGAAGAAGCCUGGGAAGUUAAUAAGAAGAGAAAGAAGCCAUAUAAAGGCUUUAAAUCAAGUUGUUUCUUUCUCCAUGAAAUACAGUUAAGGAAAAAGAAAAUGUAUGAAAUGGAAAAGCAUUUUCCAUCAAACAUUGUUACUUUAAGAAAACACCCUUGUGGCCCUGGCUGGGUAGCUCAGUUGGUUAGAGCAUCAUCCUGACAUGCCAAGGUUGCAAGUUCAAUCCCCAGUGGGACACACAGAAGAAUCAACCAGUGAAUGCAUAAAUAAGUGGAACAUCAAAAAUUGAUGGGUCUGUCUCUCUCUCCUCCCUCUCUACCUUUUUCCCUCCUUCUCAAAUCAAUUAAAAGAAUUUAAGA